rnacentral:rRNA from 1 species
UACGAAGGAGGCUAGCGUUGCUCGGAAUCACUGGACGUAAAGCGCACGUAGGCGGCUCCUUAAGUCAGGGGUGAAAUCCUGGAGCUCAACUCCAGAACUGCCUUUGAUACUGGGAGGCUCGAGUCCGGAAGAGGUGAGUGGAACUGCGAGUGUAGAGGUGAAAUUCGUAGAUAUUCGCAAGAACACCAGUGGCGAAGGCGGCUCACUGGUCCGGUACUGACGCUGAGGUGCGAAAGCGUGGGGAGCAAACAGG